GCGCGCUCCCCUAUAAGUGGCUGAGGGAGUGAUGGUGUGGCUCUACCGCAGGCGAAGAGGGGCGAGUCCCCGGGGCUUCGUUCACACGGCCGCAGCGUUUACUGGUACUGAAGAUGUGAAAGGUGUAUGACCAUCUAUCUUCAGUUUGACAUGUGAUCUGAGAUUCUAAUGCUUCUUGAUGUGUAGAUUGGACUUGGGACUGCCAAUUGUGAGGAGAUGAAGAGUUUUUAGUUCCCAAUUUCAAGAAGAAAGGCCUGUGGACAUGGCAUACGUGGUGAACUAUGGCAUGAGAUUUGCUUCACAGAUUUCUGACUACAGGGAGUGAUCCCUCAGAAGGUUAAAGCUCAGAGAGAGAGCCUCUUUGCAAAACAUCCAAUCCCUGCUGCGGUAAACUCUGGAAUUUCUUCACAGUCCUGACCUAACAUUGGGUGUUUCUGGAAAUCAGAAGACACUUUCAUGAAAUCAGAAAGUCAUCCUAACAUCAUCAAAUGGGAGAAUAUAAGCUCCAUAUAAACACUAUCAUCCCAGUUUUUUAAAGCAAGUGAAAUAUGGAAAAUAUGAACACCAAGAAUAUCAUUGUAUGGGAAAAGAGUUCUAGCAGGAGGCCUUCCUUUAGAUGACACCACUAUCACUUCCUUCUCUUUUCCUAUUUGUUUCUACAUUGAGCAGUAAGAUGAUGAUCUCACCAGUAUGUUUAUGUGAAGUUUUUCUUUUGCUCUAUUCUAAAGCACAUCUAAUUGGCCUAAAGUCAACCAUAUACAUGAAAUUAUGUCAAAGAAAUCUCCAGAUCAACCCAGAUCAAUAUUUGUAACUCACCGAAUGGCUUUGAGCACACUGUGGAAGAACACUGCUUUGGUGCUUGAUCUCGAAAAUGAACUGAAAACAAUGGUACUAUGCCUUCAUGGUGCAGGAAAUUUCAAUAACAGAAAGAAGUAACUGAAAACUGUAUUCCUAAAUAAUUAUUUGGCAUUCCUGGGGUGCCCCAUGUAGGGAAAGUCAAUGCAUGCAUGACAAAAGAAGCUCCUCACUAAAGUUUGGAAGCCUGUUUAUGCUGGAGGAAGAAAUGAGAAAUCAGUUGAGUAAAAGAGAAUGUGAAAGCCAAGGUGGACACUGUGACUGCUUUGACCAAAAGAAUGUGGCAAAAGUGACAUUCUAAGAAGGCUGAACCCAGAUCUCAAAAGUACUGGCAGCUUCCUUUUUCAGCCUCUUGGAGCACUUACACUUAGGACAUUCCAUUUCAGAACUCAGCUGCCAUGCUGUGAGAAGACCAAGUCACAUGGAGAGGCCAUGUGUUGGCAUUUCUAUCAACAGCCUCUGCUGAGCACCCUACUGACAGGUAGCAUAAUUCUCCAUCACGUGAAUGACCCAUCUGAACAACCAGCCCAAUCAAGCCUUCAGAGACUCCAGGCCCAGCUUCUAACUGGCCGAAACCUAGGAGACAACAAAUAAGAACCACCGGGAUGAUUCAGUCAACCUGUAGAACUGUAGAGAUAAUAAUAAACUACUGUUUUAAGCCACUCAGUUUUUAGAGUGGUUUGUUACACAGCAAUAUAUAACCAGAACAUAAUGAGACUGCCACUUAACUCAUAACACACCCCUUUUCUGACCCUUCUUUCAGGUAAGGAGAUAGGUGAAAUCAAUAAGGAAAUUACAACAUGGCCUAGACAUUGGAGAAAAAAAUAUUUCAUGUUUAAUUUCAUUGGUCUUAAAACUGGAACCUAUAAAAAAGUAAUUCUUAGAGGAUAAUUUUACAAACUAUAGGUAAAUUUUUGGAUACAUUUACUGAAGAAUUGUGUUAAACAUUAAAUUUAAUCUACCCUAAAUGCACUUCACUUUCUCCAAACAUAUACUUUCUUUGGAAAGCUGAUAAUUGACUUACAAUUCAAAUUCUUUUUUUUUAUUAUUGAGUUACGUACAAUAAAAUGUACAAAUCUUUUUUUAUUAAGUUACAUACAAUAAAAUGUACAAAUCAUAGCUAUACAUAGUUCAGUAUAUUUUGAUGUGUAUAUACACUUAUGUGACCAUCACUAAGAUCAAGAUAUCAAACAUUUUCACUAAUUUUUCCCUGUUCAUUAUUUCAUUGAUCCCCCAUACUCUCUCCCCUGUGGCAACCACCAAGCUAUUCUCUGUGU